rnacentral:rRNA from 1 species
UACGUAGGGUGCGAGCGUUGUCCGGAAUUAUUGGGCGUAAAGAGCUCGUAGGCGGUGUGUCGCGUCGGCCGUGAAAACCUGCAGCUUAACUGUGGGCUUGCGGUCGAUACGGGCAUCACUGGAGUUCGGCAGGGGAGACUGGAAUUCCUGGUGUAGCGGUGAAAUGCGCAGAUAUCAGGAGGAACACCGGUGGCGAAGGCGGGUCUCUGGGCAACUAACUGACGCUGGAGGAGCGAAAGCGUGGGGAGCGAACAGG